rnacentral:rRNA from 1 species
GACAGCAGUCGCCGCGGUAAUACAGAGGGUGCGAGCGUUAAUCGGAUUUACUGGGCGUAAAGCGUGCGUAGGCGGCUUUUUAAGUCGGAUGUGAAAUCCCUGAGCUUAACUUAGGAAUUGCAUUCGAUACUGGGAAGCUAGAGUAUGGGAGAGGAUGGUAGAAUUCCAGGUGUAGCGGUGAAAUGCGUAGAGAUCUGGAGGAAUACCGAUGGCGAAGGCAGCCAUCUGGCCUAAUACUGACGCUGAGGUACGAAAGCAUGGGGAGCAAACAGGAUUAGAUACCCGCGUAGUCCCUGUCUCUUAUAC